UACGGGAGGCAGCAGUGGGGAAUAUUGCACAAUGGGCGAAAGCCUGAUGCAGCUAUGCCGCGUGUAUGAAGAAGGCCUUAGGGUUGUAAAGUACUUUCAUCGGGGAGGAAAAAACAAAACUAAUAAUUUUAUUUCUUGACGUUACCCGAAAAAGAAGCACCGGCUAACUCCGUGCCAGCAGCCGCGGUAAUACGGAGGGUGCUAGCGUUAAUCAGAAUUACUGGGCGUAAAGAGCACGUAGGUGGUUUUUUUAAGUUCAGAUGUGAAAUCCCUGGGCUUAACCUGGAACUGCAUUUUGAAACUGAAAUACUAGAGUAUCGUAGAGGGAGGUAGAAUUCUAGGUGUAGCGGUGAAAUGCGUAGAUAUCUGGAGGAAUACCUGUGGCGAAAGCGGCCCCUAACGAAUACUGACACUGAGGUGCGAAAGCGUGGGGAGGCAAACAGGGAUUAGAUACC
rnacentral:rRNA from 1 species